rnacentral:lncRNA from 1 species
CACCGAGGGGGGGGGUGAGUCUGUGAGUUGAUGUGGGGCGGCUGUGGGGUCCCUGUGGCUCUCUAUGGGUCUCAAUGGGGCUCUAUGGGGCUCUAUGGGGCACUGUGGGUCUCUAUGGGGCUCUAUGGGGCACUGUGGGUCUCUAUGGGGCUCUAUGGGGCAGCUAUGUGUCUCUAUGGGGGCACUUAUGGGUCACUGUAGGCUCUCUCUAUGGGUCUCUAUGUGUCUCUGUGGGGCUCUAUGGGUCUCUAUGGGUCUCUAUGGGGUCUCUGUGGGUCUCUAUGGGUCUCUAUGGGUCUCUAUGGGUCUCUAUGGGUCUCUAUGGGUCUCUAUGGGGUCUCUAUGGGUCUCUAUGGGGUCGCUAUGGGUCGCUGUGUGUCCUAUGGGUCUCUAUGGGGCAGCUAUGGGUCACUAUGGGGCAGCUAUGUGUCUCUAUAGGUCUCUAUGGGGCACUAUGUGUCUCUAUGGGUCUCUGUGGGUCGCUAUGAGGCAGUUAUGGGUCGCUAUGGGUCCUUAUGGGGCUCUAUGGGUCUCUAUGGGGCUCUAUGGGUCUCUAUGGGUCUCUGUGGGGUCUCUAUGGGGCGAUAUGGGGUCGCUAUAGGGCUCUGUGGGUCUCUAUGGGUCGCUGUGGGUCCCGCU